UGCGACUUGAUGUGGUUAGUUUACUUAAUGCAUGAUAUGCCGAUUACCGCUGAAGGUGGAUGUGCAAACAACAACAAACAAUUGUUUCAGUUGAUCCCUCAAGAUUUUAAUUGUAUUGGUUUGUACCAAAUUAAACAUAUUACACUUAAAAAAGUAAGAAACCUGCAACUGAAUGGUUUUAAAUAUUUUAUCAUAAUAAUAACGCAAUGUUUCACAACAUUUUUUUUUGAAUACGUGUCACAUCAGUGGACAGAAAAAGAAACGCAUACAUAAUAGAAAAGAAAGUUUAAUAUAACCUUUUUGUUGGUACUCAUUCACUGUUAUGGUUUUGAUCUAUACUGUUUAUGAACUUAUUUUUCUACCUAUUUCAGAAAAUGUAUCACUUAUACACAUUUGCAAUGCAUCUCAAGUCGUCGAUCUUCCAUGUGAAUAUAACUACGUUACAACACAUCUGAUAAGUUGGCUUCACUCACGUAAUGGCAAACUCAUCAGGGAACUGAAUAAAGACUUUGUUGAUAAGGACACAAAUACUCUCCAUUUUCC
rnacentral:lncRNA from 1 species